rnacentral:rRNA from 1 species
ACAUCUAAGUACCCCGAGGAAAAGAAAUCAACCGAGAUUCCCCCAGUAGCGGCGAGCGAACGGGGAGGAGCCCAGAGCCUGAAUCAGUGUGUGUGUUAGUGGAAGCGUCUGGAAAGGCGCGCGAUACAGGGUGACAGCCCCGUACACAAAAAUGCACAUAUUGUGAGCUCGAUGAGUAGGGCGGGACACGUGGUAUCCUGUCUGAAUAUGGGGGGACCAUCCUCCAAGGCUAAAUACUCCUGACUGACCGAUAGUGAACCAGUACCGUGAGGGAAAGGCGAAAAGAACCCCGGCGAGGGGAGUGAAAAAGAACCUGAAACCGUGUACGUACAAGCAGUGGGAGCCUCUUAAUGGGGUGACUGCGUACCUUUUGUAUAAUGGGUCAGCGACUUAUAUUCUGUAGCAAGGUUAACCGAAUAGGGGAGCCGAAGGGAAACCGAGUCUUAACUGGGCGUUAAGUUGCAGGGUAUAGACCCGAAACCCGGUGAUCUAGCCAUGGGCAGGUUGAAGGUUGGGUAACACUAACUGGAGGACCGAACCGACUAAUGUUGAAAAAUUAGCGGAUGACUUGUGGCUGGGGGUGAAAGGCCAAUCAAACCGGGAGAUAGCUGGUUCUCCCCGAAAGCUAUUUAGGUAGCGCCUCGUGAAUUCAUCUCCGGGGGUAGAGCACUGUUUCGGCAAGGGGGUCAUCCCGACUUACCAACCCGAUGCAAACUGCGAAUACCGGAGAAUGUUAUCACGGGAGACACACGGCGGGUGCUAACGUCCGUCGUGAAGAGGGAAACAACCCAGACCGCCAGCUAAGGUCCCAAAGUCAUGGUUAAGUGGGAAACGAUGUGGGAAGGCCCAGACAGCCAGGAUGUUGGCUUAGAAGCAGCCAUCAUUUAAAGAAAGCGUAAUAGCUCACUGGUCGAGUCGGCCUGCGCGGAAGAUGUAACGGGGCUAAACCAUGCACCGAAGCUGCGGCAGCGACACUAUGUGUUGUUGGGUAGGGGAGCG